rnacentral:rRNA from 1 species
GGGUUGUGAGGUUAAGCGACUAAGCGUACACGGUGGAUGCCCUGGCAGUCAGAGGCGAUGAAGGACGUGCUAAUCUGCGAUAAGCGUCGGUAAGGUGAUAUGAACCGUUAUAACCGGCGAUUUCCGAAUGGGGAAACCCAGUGUGAUUCGUCACACUAUCAUUAACUGAAUCCAUAGGUUAAUGAGGCGAACCGGGGGAACUGAAACAUCUAAGUACCCCGAGGAAAAGAAAUCAACCGAGAUUCCCCCAGUAGCGGCGAGCGAACGGGGAGCAGCCCAGAGCCUGAAUCAGUGUGUGUGUUAGUGGAAGCGUCUGGAAAGGCGCGCGAUACAGGGUGACAGCCCCGUACACAAAAAUGCACAUGCUGUGAGCUCGAUGAGUAGGGCGGGACACGUGGUAUCCUGUCUGAAUAUGGGGGGACCAUCCUCCAAGGCUAAAUACUCCUGACUGACCGAUAGUGAACCAGUACCGUGAGGGAAAGGCGAAAAGAACCCCGGCGAGGGGAGUGAAAAAGAACCUGAAACCGUGUACGUACAAGCAGUGGGAGCACGCUUAGGCGUGUGACUGCGUACCUUUUGUAUAAUGGGUCAGCGACUUAUAUUCUGUAGCAAGGUUAACCGAAUAGGGGAGCCGAAGGGAAACCGAGUCUUAACUGGGCGUUAAGUUGCAGGGUAUAGACCCGAAACCCGGUGAUCUAGCCAUGGGCAGGUUGAAGGUUGGGUAACACUAACUGGAGGACCGAACCGACUAAUGUUGAAAAAUUAGCGGAUGACUUGUGGCUGGGGGUGAAAGGCCAAUCAAACCGGGAGAUAGCUGGUUCUCCCCGAAAGCUAUUUAGGUAGCGCCUCGUGAAUUCAUCUCCGGGGGUAGAGCACUGUUUCGGCAAGGGGGUCAUCCCGACUUACCAACCCGAUGCAAACUGCGAAUACCGGAGAAUGUUAUCACGGGAGACACACGGCGGGUGCUAACGUCCGUCGUGAAGAGGGAAACAACCCAGACCGCCAGCUAAGGUCCCAAAGUCAUGGUUAAGUGGGAAACGAUGUGGGAAGGCCCAGACAGCCAGGAUGUUGGCUUAGAAGCAGCCAUCAUUUAAAGAAAGCGUAAUAGCUCACUGGUCGAGUCGGCCUGCGCGGAAGAUGUAACGGGGCUAAACCAUGCACCGAAGCUGCGGCAGCGACGCUGAUGCGUUGUUGGGUAGGGGAGCGUUCUGUAAGCCUGCGAAGGUGUGCUGUGAGGCAUGCUGGAGGUAUCAGAAGUGCGAAUGCUGACAUAAGUAACGAUAAAGCGGGUGAAAAGCCCGCUCGCCGGAAGACCAAGGGUUCCUGUCCAACGUUAAUCGGGGCAGGGUGAGUCGACCCCUAAGGCGAGGCCGAAAGGCGUAGUCGAUGGGAAACAGGUUAAUAUUCCUGUACUUGGUGUUACUGCGAAGGGGGGACGGAGAAGGCUAUGUUGGCCGGGCGACGGUUGUCCCGGUUUAAGCGUGUAGGCUGGUUUUCCAGGCAAAUCCGGAAAACUAAGGCUGAGGCGUGAUGACGAGGCACUACGGUGCUGAAGCAACAAAUGCCCUGCUUCCAGGAAAAGCCUCUAAGCAUCAGGUAACAUCAAAUCGUACCCCAAACCGACACAGGUGGUCAGGUAGAGAAUACCAAGGCGCUUGAGAGAACUCGGGUGAAGGAACUAGGCAAAAUGGUGCCGUAACUUCGGGAGAAGGCACGCUGAUAUGUAGGUGAAGCGACUUGCUCGUGGAGCUGAAAUCAGUCGAAGAUACCAGCUGGCUGCAACUGUUUAUUAAAAACACAGCACUGUGCAAACACGAAAGUGGACGUAUACGGUGUGACGCCUGCCCGGUGCCGGAAGGUUAAUUGAUGGGGUUAGCGCAAGCGAAGCUCUUGAUCGAAGCCCCGGUAAACGGCGGCCGUAACUAUAACGGUCCUAAGGUAGCGAAAUUCCUUGUCGGGUAAGUUCCGACCUGCACGAAUGGCGUAAUGAUGGCCAGGCUGUCUCCACCCGAGACUCAGUGAAAUUGAACUCGCUGUGAAGAUGCAGUGUACCCGCGGCAAGACGGAAAGACCCCGUGAACCUUUACUAUAGCUUGACACUGAACAUUGAGCCUUGAUGUGUAGGAUAGGUGGGAGGCUUUGAAGUGUGGACGCCAGUCUGCAUGGAGCCGACCUUGAAAUACCACCCUUUAAUGUUUGAUGUUCUAACGUUGACCCGUAAUCCGGGUUGCGGACAGUGUCUGGUGGGUAGUUUGACUGGGGCGGUCUCCUCCUAAAGAGUAACGGAGGAGCACGAAGGUUGGCUAAUCCUGGUCGGACAUCAGGAGGUUAGUGCAAUGGCAUAAGCCAGCUUGACUGCGAGCGUGACGGCGCGAGCAGGUGCGAAAGCAGGUCAUAGUGAUCCGGUGGUUCUGAAUGGAAGGGCCAUCGCUCAACGGAUAAAAGGUACUCCGGGGAUAACAGGCUGAUACCGCCCAAGAGUUCAUAUCGACGGCGGUGUUUGGCACCUCGAUGUCGGCUCAUCACAUCCUGGGGCUGAAGUAGGUCCCAAGGGUAUGGCUGUUCGCCAUUUAAAGUGGUACGCGAGCUGGGUUUAGAACGUCGUGAGACAGUUCGGUCCCUAUCUGCCGUGGGCGCUGGAGAACUGAGGGGGGCUGCUCCUAGUACGAGAGGACCGGAGUGGACGCAUCACUGGUGUUCGGGUUGUCAUGCCAAUGGCACUGCCCGGUAGCUAAAUGCGGAAGAGAUAAGUGCUGAAAGCAUCUAAGCACGAAACUUGCCCCGAGAUGAGUUCUCCCUGACCCUUUAAGGGUCCUGAAGGAACGUUGAAGACGACGACGUUGAUAGGCCGGGUGUGUAAGCGCAGCGAUGCGUUGAGCUAACCGGUACUAAUGAACCGUGAGGCUUAACCUUACAACGCCGAAG